rnacentral:rRNA from 1 species
UACAGAGGGGGCAAGCGUUGUUCGGAAUUACUGGGCGUAAAGGGCGCGUAGGUGGCCUUCUAAGUUGAACGUGAAAUCCCUGGGCUCAACCCAGGAACUGCGUCCAAGACUGGGAGGCUUGAAUCCGGGAGAGGGAUGCGGAAUUCCAGGUGUAGCGGUGAAAUGCGUAGAUAUCUGGAGGAACACCGGUGGCGAAGGCGGCAUCCUGGACCGGUAUUGACACUGAGGCGCGAAAGCCAGGGAGCAAACGGG